rnacentral:rRNA from 1 species
UACAGAGGUCUCAAGCGUUUGUUCGGAUUCAUUGGGCGUAAAGGGUGUGUAGGUGGCGCCGUAAGUCGGGUGUGAAAUUUCGGAGCUUAACUCCGAAACUGCAUUCGAUACUGCGGUGCUUGAGGACUGGAGAGGAGACUGGAAUUCAUGGUGUAGCGUGAAAUGCGUACGAGUAUCAGUGAGAGCCGUGGCGAAGGCGGGUCUCUGGGCCGUAACUGACGCUGAGGAGCGAAAGCGUGGGGAGCGAACAGG